rnacentral:rRNA from 1 species
GACGAACGCUGGCGGCGUGCCUAAUACAUGCAAGUCGAACGCUUCUUUCCUCCCGAGUGCUUGCACUCAAUUGGAAAGAGGAGUGGCGGACGGGUGAGUAACACGUGGGUAACCUACCCAUCAGAGGGGGAUAACACUUGGAAACAGGUGCUAAUACCGCAUAACAGUUUAUGCCGCAUGGCAUAAGAGUGAAGGGCGCUUUCGGGUGUCGCUGAUGGAUGGACCCGCGGUGCAUUAGCUAGUUGGUGAGGUAACGGCUCACCAAGGCCACGAUGCAUAGCCGACCUGAGAGGGUGAUCGGCCACACUGGGACUGAGACACGGCCCAGACUCCUACGGGGGGCAGCAGUAGGGAAUCUUCGGCAAUGGACGAAAGUCUGACCGAGCAACGCCGCGUGAGUGAAGAAGGUUUUCGGAUCGUAAAACUCUGUUGUUAGAGAAGAACAAGGACGUUAGUAACUGAACGUCCCCUGACGGUAUCUAACCAGAAAGCCACGGCUAACUACGUG